UUAAUGUCCAGGAGAGUGGCCCUCCGCAUGGAGGGUUGACUAGAGAUUUAUCGGUAUGGGAUGAGCUUGCGUCCGAUUAGCUAGUUGGCGGGGCAACGGCCCACCAAGGCGACGAUCGGUAGCCGGCCUGAGAGGGUGAUCGGCCACAUUGGGACUGAGAUACGGCCCAGACUCCUACGGGAGGCAGCAGUAGGGAAUAUUGCACAAUGGGGGAAACCCUGAUGCAGCAACGCCACGUGUGGGAAGUAGCAUUUCGGUGUGUAAACCACUGUCAUGAGGGAAUAAGGCCCGCCUCCGGGCGGGAUUGAAUGUACCUUGAGAGGAAGCACCGGCAAACUUCGUGCCAGCAGCCGCGGUAAUACGAGGGGUGCAAGCGUUGUUCGGAAUUACUGGGCGUAAAGGGAGCGCAGGCGGAGAUUCAAGCGGAUUGUACAAUCCCGGGGCCCAACCCCGGUUCUGCAGUCCGAACUGGAUCUCUUGGAUAGUUCAGGGGCAGGCGGAAUUCCUGGUGUAGCGGUGGAAUGCGUAGAGAUCAGGAAGAACACCGAUGGCGAANGCAGCCUGCUGGUGACUCAUCGACGCUGAGGCUCGAAAGUGCGGGUAGCAAACAGGAUUAGAUACCCUGGUAGUCCGCACCGU
rnacentral:rRNA from 1 species